UGGUCGUCAAUAUUUGCACUUCAUUCAAUGUCAUCUAUAGUAAGUACAUCAAAUAUGACAGUCCGCACCGUGGAUAGUAUUCGAUUUCGAGGCCUUGCUUUCAUCGUUAUUCGACAGCCCUGAAAGGAGCCCAAUUCCAUACAAAAUCGAAAGGUGAACAUACUGAGAGAGUUGUGCAAAUUUCUUCGUGGCCUGUGCCAAAAACUUUAUAAGGGUUCAUAUUCGUGUGCAAGAUGCUACCGAUACCGAUUAUUGAUGACUGCUAUUCCCAAUAUAACUCGAAAGCUUUUCAAUUUGUGAGGAUUAGACCGCUUUUGGAAGAAAUUAAACAAUAUUCACAAUGAAAAAGGAAGCAGUUGAUAUGACAUAGCCUUGUGCCAACUGACAAUCAAUAGUAGUCGAUUUUUAUGUAUAUGCGGCCAUAAUUUUAAAGAGAAAUGAUUCACAUCAUUUAA